rnacentral:rRNA from 1 species
AUGGGUGGCUUUGUUUGGUGCCUUCAGGUUUGGAUGUGGGAGCGGAUGCCCGUUGGACGCCCCGAGAAAAACAAGACACCUCAUGAAGGAUGGGUCGCACAUGACGGGAGGUAUGGAGAAGAUCCUUGGCGGUUUCUGACCGUCGCCUACUGUUGGGAGAUGGCGAAUGUGUACACAGGCAGCUCGGUUGCGCGAUACAAAUGCUACAUCAACGAGCUGGAUAUGUUGACUCAUAAGCAGGUCGAUUGGAUGCCAUAUGAUGCCGAUUAUGCUUUCCGGCUGAACGAGAUGUGCACACAUGACAGGAAUAUUUGGCGGGCGAGAUGCCCAUUGAUAUGCUUCUAUGCUGUCGAGUGGCACUACCCAGACCGUGUCGCAAGACAAUUUGGGAGAAGGCAAGCGACACCAAGGGAUGAGAGUUUCGAGACAAGCCAAUUUCUGCAUCGAAUUAGUCGAAAGAAUAACCCGGAAACUUCGACUUGGGCCAUCAAGCAAUCCGAGUGGAUAGAUUUGUGGAAUCAAAGAGUGGCCCUAGUGGAGAAGGAAAGAAGACAACAUAGUGAUUCAGUAUACGAAGAGCAUCUGAAGUGGCUUGCGGGACGUUACCGGUUGAAGCUAAAGUCCGGUUGGAACUGUUCGGAAUUGGAAGAGUUGGAUCGUGAGAGCGGGUAUAUGGACUUCAAUGUACAAACAAGAGACAACGAAGGGACACAACUUGACUAUGCACAACUACACGACCGAGUGGGCAUGGAGUUAUUGCAUUGUGUUAACGAGGCUGGUGUAGCACUUGGUGAAGAUGAGGGAAGUGGAUCAUCUGAGAAAUUUCUUAGGAAAACAAUGAAGAGUUUCGUGAGUCGAUUCCACAAGAUGGCAGCUAUGCUCUCUUGCCAUGGAAGUAAAGCCGUCCUCACGGCUGGAGCUUCUACUAGCCGGGACAAUAGACGUCGUUGUCGUCUUGUCUUGCAACAGGAACAACAAGAGGAGAAACUGCAAGAAGAGCCAGAGCAAGAGGAGGCGCAGCAAGAUGAAGAGGAGUACAAUCAAGACGAAGAGGAGGUGCUUGGGAUGUCCCAAAUGGAUGAUGCGCCUGAGCCAUCACAGCCCACACAACGCACGCCGCGCAACAAAAGAGGAAGGAAGAAGUGA